GGCAAAAUUUCAAAUUUUUACAUAUAUGGACUAAAAGCCACAAAACUUAUGUUAUGGGGUCUUUAAAAAAGUUGAAUUACCAAAAUAAUCUCUUUUCUGCUCCAUCCUUAACUUUUCGCAUCUGUCUGUCUUAUAUUUGCACGGUCCGAGCAUGAAGCCUGCAGCACAGACAUCGCUGAGCUGACGUGGCAACUGGAAAUGAGGAGAGAUCAGCUGCGGCAGGUGAGAGACAGACUGACCCACACGGAGGUGCUGAACCGACGUCUGAAGGAGGAUAUCGAUUUUAUGAGGAAACACGGGCCGCUCGUGCACGAGAGACUCCAGCUGGAAAGUGAAAUCAUGAAGCAGAUCCAAACAGCACAAAGUGAGGUCAGAACAUUAAAAGCUGAAAAAGAUGAUAAAGAAGAGAUAUUGAUGAUAAAGAAGAAGGAAGUAUUGCAGCUUCAAAACCAAAUGCAAACAUCUAAACUUGAAGGUGAUGAAAAGGUGUCUGUAUUGGAUGCAAACUUAAGCCAAAAGCGACAUGAGUUAUUGACCCUGCGAGACAAAAACAAAGCACAAACUGGAAAUUGAAGACUACAAGAGAAAGAUCUACCAAAGUGAACAGGCUGUGAGAAAGCUACUGAAGGAUCGAGAGCAUGUCCUGCUGAAGAUCAGUUUGAGCGAGAAGCAGUGGAAACCGGUCAAAGCCGAGUUUGACCAGGUGUCUGCUGUACACUCAGACACCAAAGCUGAGCUGGACCGUUUAGAGCGCCAAACCUUUCUGGAGGAGCUGAAGAACAGGGGAAGAGGACACCUGCCCCAUUCAAAUCUAAAGAUUAGUUUUUUAGCAAGGUUACUGAAUGAACAAAUGUGUAGCCCGGAUCCAAAAAAUUUAAAUUCUAUCAUCAUUUACUCACCCUCAUGACAUUCCACACCUGCAUGCAGUUUUUCCAUUGAAAAAGUAGAAUUUAAGAAUUCUAUCAACACUCAUACACAUAAAGGUUCUUUAUUGGCAUUGAUGGGUCCAUGAAGAACCUUCAACAUCUAUGGAAGCUUUUCCACUUCUAAAAGGUUCUUUGUAGUGAAAAAGGUCUUUCAAGACUUAAAAUUGUCUUCAAAUUAAGAAAAAAAAAUGUAACCGAAAAUGGUUCUUGUAUGGCAUCACUGCGAACCCCCCGAGA
rnacentral:lncRNA from 1 species